AGAGGUGUAUGGAAGGAAGUAUUUUGGUAACAACUUUGAUCGAUUAGUCAAGAUUAAGACCGCGGUUGAUCCGGAUAAUUUCUUCAGAAAUGAACAGAGUAUACCUACCUUGCCAAGUAAGGCAUAGUGGAAAAAGACUUACCUUUUGUUUUUAUUAUAAAAAUUGAAAAGGUUUGGUUAUUUACUACUAAACCAGUAAUGUUUGGUGAAGGAGAAUAUAAUAGUAUGAUUUGAAAUAUUGAAUACAUAUGUGGAACUCUUUAACAAGAUUCUUUUCAUUAAGUUAGAAAAACUUAAAAAGGGGUUGGUAUUGAUGACAAAAACAAAAGUUCAAAACCGUUGAUUGUUGAGUAUAGCUAUACCUGAUUUUGAAAAUUAUGGCGAAAAUUGUGGAAUUUUGUGUUUGUUUUGAGUUGUUAAACCGUUUAUGAUUCUCGUGACUAAAUCGAUGAAUGAUAGUGUUGACUUGACUAUAGACCAAAUUGGGUUGCAACUGUUAUAUUUUAAAAUAAUUAAUGCAGUAAUCUUUGACAAUUUGGAGAUCAAUGGUUUAGUAUUGUUAAUUGACAUUCAAAUUUAGUUUUCAAAUGGUUUACGUUGUGGAGCUAUACUGAUCAUUUUAGUUCAUCAAUUAAACAUAAAUCUUUUUCUUUUUGAAUUUACAUUAGUCAUCUUCAAAGCUACUUACUCUAAUGUUUGGUAACCAACUGAUAUUUUCUUUCCAACUUUUAAAAUAGAAAACCUUCAAAAUAUAAUUAAUACAAAUAAAAUCUGAUAAUAUAGGAAUUGAACGUUGUCAGUUGACACAAAUACUAAAUUGAUCAAUCCACAACUGAAACAUAUAAAUAUUUAGACUAACAUACAGUAAAUGAAACAGUAGAUUGGGUUUUGAUAACACACGCCUUUUAUUAAACGAACAAUAACUUUAUUAGAAGCAAUAAUAACUAAAAGAGAGGUAAGCUUGUAGGAAAACGAACUUGCAUCCACUGCUUCUCAUACGUAACCAAAUGGCUCCAACCUAAUUCCUCCAGUAAGCCCAGUUUCAGUUCGUAAAGUUUCUUAUUAGCAGUCUCGUUCUCGUUUUGGAUCAACUCAUCAAGUGGAAAAAGACUUACCUUUUGUUUUUAUUAUAAAAAUUGAAAAGGUUUGGUUAUUUACUACUAAACCAGUAAUGUUUGGUGAAGGAGAAUAUAAUAGUAUGAUUUGAAAUAUUGAAUACAUAUGUGGAACUCUUUAACAAGAUUCUUUUCAUUAAGUUAGAAAAACUUAAAAAGGGGUUGGUAUUGAUGACAAAAACAAAAGUUCAAAACCGUUGAUUGUUGAG
rnacentral:lncRNA from 1 species